CAGCAGCCGCGGGAAAACGAAGGGGGCUAGCGUUGUUCGGAAUUACUGGGCGUAAAGCGCACGUAGGCGGAUAUUUAAGUCAGGGGUGAAAUCCCAGAGCUCAACUCUGGAACUGCCUUUGAUACUGGGUAUCUUGAGUAUGGAAGAGGUGAGUGGAAUUCCGAGUGUAGAGGUGAAAUUCGUAGAUAUUCGGAGGAACACCAGUGGCGAAGGCGGCUCACUGGUCCAUUACUGACGCUGAGGUGCGGAAGCGUGGGGAGCAAACAGGAUUAGAUACCCCGGUAGUCCCUGUCUCUUAUAC
rnacentral:rRNA from 1 species